rnacentral:rRNA from 1 species
UUUUGGACAAUGGGGGCAACCCUGAUCCAGCAAUGCCGCGUGAGUGAAGAAGGCCUUCGGGUUGUAAAGCUCUUUUGUCAGGGAAGAAACAGCAGCUCUAACACAGUCUGCGAAUGACGGUACCUGAAGAAUAAGCACCGGCUAACUACGUGCCAGCAGCCGCGGUAAUACGUAGGGUGCGAGCGUUAAUCGGAAUUACUGGGCGUAAAGCGUGCGCAGGCGGUUAUACAAGACAGGCGUGAAAUCCCCGGGCUUAACCUGGGAAUGGCGCCUGUGACUGUAUAGCUAGAGUGUGUCAGAGGGGGGUAGAAUUCCACGUGUAGCAGUGAAAUGCGUAGAUAUGUGGAGGAAUACCAAUGGCGAAGGCAGCCCCCUGGGAUAACACUGACGCUCAUGCACGAA